CUACGGGUGGCUGCAGUGGGGAAUAUUGCACAAUGGAGGAAACUCUGAUGCAGCAACGCCGCGUGGAGGAUGACACUUUUCGGAGCGUAAACUCCUUUUAUAUAGGAAGAUAAUGACGGUACUAUAUGAAUAAGCACCGGCUAACUCCGUGCCAGCAGCCGCGGUAAUACGGAGGGUGCAAGCGUUACUCGGAAUCACUGGGCGUAAAGAGCGUGUAGGCGGAUAGAUAAGUCAGGAGUGAAAUCCUAUGGCUCAACCAUAGAACUGCUCUUGAAACUGUCUAUCUAGAAUAUGGGAGAGGUAGAUGGAAUUUCUGGUGUAGGGGUAAAAUCCGUAGAGAUCAGAAGGAAUACCGAUUGCGAAGGCGAUCUACUGGAACAUUAUUGACGCUGAGACGCGAAAGCGUGGGGAGCAAACAGGAUUAGAUACCCCCGUAGUC
rnacentral:rRNA from 1 species